rnacentral:rRNA from 1 species
AAUGAACGUUGGCGGCAUGGAUUAGGCAUGCAAGUCGAGCGAGAAGUGUAGCAAUACACGGAAAGCGGCGGAAGGGAGAGUAAUACGUGGGAAUCUGCCCUUAGACCUGGGAUAGCAGCGGGAAACUGCUGGUAAUACCAGAUAAUGUCUAUGGACCAAAGGUGUGAUUCCGUCUGGGGAUGAGCCCACGUCCUAUUAGCUAGUUGGUAGGGUAAUGGCCUACCAAGGCGAUGAUGGGUAGCGGGUGUGAGAGCAUGACCCGCCUCACUGGGACUGAGACACUGCCCAGACACCGACGGGUGGCUGCAGUCGAGAAUCUUCGGCAAUGGGCGCAAGCCUGACCGAGCGAUGCCGCGUGCGGGAUGAAGGCCUUCGGGUUGUAAACCGCUGUCGAGGGGGAGCAACUUCCAUAGAGUUAUCUUUAUGGAUUGAGUGAUCCCUGGAGGAAGGACGGGCUAAGUUCGUGCCAGCAGCCGCAGUAACAC